rnacentral:rRNA from 1 species
UACAGAGGGUGCGAGCGUUAAUCGGAAUUACUGGGCGUAAAGCGUGCGCAGGCGGUUUUGUAAGUCUGACGUGAAAUCCCCGGGCUUAACCUGGGAAUUGCGUUGGAGACUGCAAGGCUAGAAUCUGGCAGAGGGGGGUAGAAUUCCACGUGUAGCAGUGAAAUGCGUAGAGAUGUGGAGGAACACCGAUGGCGAAGGCAGCCCCCUGGGUCAAGAUUGACGCUCAUGCACGAAAGCGUGGGGAGCGAACAGG